CCAAAGGGGUUGGGUUCUCGUUUCCGUGGCGAGCCUGAUCGCGGGGCUUUUGAAAUCGGAAGCUCUAGCCCAUCUUCUCUCCUGACCAGCCCUUCUCUUUUGCUGAGAUCUGUCCACGAAAGGAAGGAUUCAUAGCUACAGCUUCACCCGCCUCUCUCCGGUUCUGGGUGCAACCGGCCUUUGGAUGAACAUUACAUUUCAGAACCACAUUGUGGGAGUAAGGAGCCGGCAACUGAAGCAUAAGCGUUGCAUAGUAUUAAAUGAACAGACGGUUGAUUCCGCUGUCGAUGGCGCUGUUGUUCUUGUUGAGCGAUGACGGCGGGCUCGAGUUCUGCUUGAGCGCGGCAUCUUCUUCCAGGUCGGUGUCGUCAAUGAGGGGGAUGUGGGGCUGUGAAUCUUCGAUCCGGAAUUCGGGGUGAGCCAUGAAAUUAUGGAUGGAGGUUCGAGACUCAGGCUUUUCUAGACCUUCAUAGAGAGAGCUACGGAACGCCUUCACGACGCGAAUCUGCAAGGGAAGCACAGGG